UGCAGAAGAGGUGAGGGUCUUUACUACAACAGUGGUGACAACAGAGAUGGAAAGAAGCAGGUGGAUUUGAUAAAUACAUUGAGGAAGCAAUCCCAGGAUUUUCAAAUGGAUUUCAUGUAGAUUUAAAAUGGUGCAAGAGGUAGAAUGCCUUCACCAGACAAGUGAAACACCUGUGCUGUGGUCUGGUCUGAAUUCUCUUCUGCUUAUCCUCUUCGCUCCAUGUUGCCCUAGGACCAGAAGAGAAGCAUGAAUAGCCUCGUUAACCCAACGAGGAAAGUGCUGGCUUGGUGAACCAAAAGGGAAGAUGAAAUGGAUGCAUGUGAUUUGCCAUUAUAUCCAUUCGUUUGUUCUCUAAAAUGACUUUGGAAGGAUUCGAAAAAGUAGAAUGUUUCACCAUCACAUCUGCCUGCUUGCCUCUAAACAACACAAGAAAACAGAGAGAGGGGAAAAAAUACAACAGGCUCACCCAGAUUUGCAGCUAAAUUUGGAUUCGAAAAUAACCACUGAUGGUUACACUUCUGCAUGCAUCAGAAGG